rnacentral:rRNA from 1 species
AGCGAACGCUGGCGGCAGGCCUAUCACAUGCAAGUCGAACGAACUCUUCGGAGUUAGUGGCGGACGGGUGAGUAACACGUGGGAACGUGCCUUUAGGUUCGGAAUAACUCAGGGAAACUUGUGCUAAUACCGAAUGUGCCCUUCGGGGGAAAGAUUUAUCGCCUUUAGAGCGGCCCGCGUCUGAUUCGCUAGUUGGUGAGGUAAAGGCUCACCAAGGCGACGAUCAGUAGCUGGUCUGAGAGGAUGAUCAGCCACAUUGGGACUGAGACACGGCCCAAACUCCUACGGGAGGCAGCAGUGGGGAAUCUUGCGCAAUGGGCGAAAGCCUGACGCAGCCAUGCCGCGUGAAUGAUGAAGGUCUUAGGAUUGUAAAAUUCUUUCACCGGGGACGAUAAUGACGGUACCCGGAGAAGAAGCCCCGGCUAACUUCGUG